UGUCCAUAAACACAGGGCCUGCCUUCUUCCCUAAACUUGAUUGGGGUUGCAGCCGGCUAAAUGGGUGUGUAAAUCUUCCCUGGAACAGCACAGCACCGUGGGCUAAAGGCUAAAGUCAGCAAUCUUGGCAAACAUGUUUUCUCUGGAGCCCCUGUGGUGCACAAUGACUUGGCUAUUCCUCUAGAAUGCCCUAAAGACAAACACUUUGAACACUGUUAUCCAAUCAGACAUUGGCUGAGACAUGCUUCCUGUUUGUUCAGCUUCCUGUUUGGCGCUUAUUGCCUGGCCUGAGGUCUCCUAUAUUUGCUAGUAUCUUGUCAGAUCCUCUCUGAAGAUAAACGACUACAAUGCAACUGUUCUGAGCAGCUAUUUCUCAUUUUUUCUCUGCUCUUUUUCAAUCUCUUUUUGUCUUUUCUAAUCAGAUCUUUCCUGAUGUUCAGCUGUGGUAAUGAUAUUAACAGGGAUAAGCAACUAAAACAAUGAGCGGCAAACCCAAAGUAAACAGCCUUGUGGUUCUGGACCUGUCUCCACUGAAGAUCUUCCUGUCUGUUUGGCUGGAUGUGCUAACACAGACUCCAUGUCGAGGUUGAGGGGGAGUUUGGAUUGCGCUCUCCGUAUGGACACAGAGAGAUGAAAAGAGAGAUGGAGGGAUGACCUACUGUGAAGGUGUGAAAGCGAGGACCAAAAGGGAAAUUCUCAGCAUGGGGCUUUUGAUGGAGGUCUAAGUGACAAUGCACACCGAGAGAACUGGAAGCUGCAUAAAUCACCCAGGUUGUGAUAUUUAGCUUGGGUUUGACUUCUACAUGUUCCUUAGUUACUGUUCCUUCACUGGACUCUACUUGACUCACUAAAAAAAUGAAAAUAUAAACCCCUGGUGAUCAACAUUGUCCAAGGGAAAGCAUAAAUACAUGUAAAGACAAAAUACAUUCACUUCACACUAUCAGCCGAUAGUAGACUAUUGGUGGAGACAUCCAAAACAACAUUGGUGCAUUUUCUUUUGUGGUUUACUUUAGAAAACGUAAUUUGGAACAAUGUGAGGGUGAGUAAAUGAAGUCAGAACUCUCAUUUUUGUGUGAACUGUCCCUUUAAGUAGUAUGUCAUUGCUUUCUAAACAGUUUGUUUAAGGGGUGAGCUGUUUUGGUGCUCUGCACAACUGUUUCCUAUCCAAUGGCUCAGGGCAGAAGGGUUAAGCAUCUCACAGAUCUCAUUGGCCAUCUUAAAGCUCGAGCUGUGAAAUGCCUGGAGCAAACGGAUACGUCCUAAAAUAAACAAAAAUUAGGAAAACCAAAAGGAGGGGUGGAAACAGGUGCUCUAGAAAGAGCGCUGAAAUAAAAGGACAAAAGGCAAAUGUGAACAAAUUUGACCCUUUAACCUGUUCAUUGGCGCCUUGUUUGGAUAAGCACAUUAGAGUUGAGAGGGCUCAGCAUCAGCCUGAAAAGCUACUCUGAGCCUUUAAAAAGAAAAAGGCCUUUGCUUUCUGUUCUAAAAACAUUGUUCUCUGCUGUGGAUGCUUGUUUGAAAGUAAAACUAGAUGAUACUAAUUUAAAUAGCAGAAAGGAAUUCAGAUUGUACAUCAACAUAUAAUUUCAAUAUUAUAUCUCAUUUAAUACGUCUUUUUGAAUCACUGAGGAAUUGUGGGUGCAUUUCACAGUUUUAGCAGGUCCUUGCUCGCUCUUUGGUCCAUAACAUAACAAAAGCAGUGCACCUUGAGAGGCGGCAGGUUAUUAAGACGUUCGAAAGAAUUGACAGUCAGUAAUUCAUAGCACAAGGUGCCUCCAACUAAAUCUAUUGUUGUGCCUUGGGAGAUGAAAGAAAAUGGACUGAAGGCAGCUGAAGGCAUUUAGACGUUUGACAAUUGAGCACAAAUGACUUUUUCACAGAAAAUGCAAAUAUUAUUUUCCAAAGAUUGCUAAUGGAUUAAAGAAAGUGGUGUGAGAGGCCGUAUGUUUGGAUCACAGCUCUAAAGAAGAGAAC
rnacentral:lncRNA from 1 species